rnacentral:rRNA from 1 species
AGCGAACGCUGGCGGCAGGCUUAACACAUGCAAGUCGAACGGGCACCUUCGGGUGUCAGUGGCAGACGGGUGAGUAACACGUGGGAACGUACCCUUCGGUUCGGAAUAACUCUGGGAAACUAGAGCUAAUACCGGAUACGCCCUUUUGGGGAAAGGUUUACUGCCGAAGGAUCGGCCCGCGUCUGAUUAGCUAGUUGGUGGGGUAACGGCCUACCAAGGCGACGAUCAGUAGCUGGUCUGAGAGGAUGAUCAGCCACACUGGGACUGAGACACGGCCCAGACUCCUACGGGAGGCAGCAGUGGGGAAUAUUGGACAAUGGGCGCAAGCCUGAUCCAGCCAUGCCGCGUGAGUGAUGAAGGCC